rnacentral:rRNA from 1 species
GAUGAACGCUGACAGAAUGCUUAACACAUGCAAGUCUACUUGAAUUUGGGUUUUUUAACUUAGAUUUGGGUGGCGGACGGGUGAGUAACGCGUAAAGAACUUGCCUCACAGCUCGGGACAACAUUUGCAAACGAAUGCUAAUACCUGAUCUUAUGAUUCUAAGGCAUCUUAGAAUUAUGAAAGCUAUAUGCGUUGUGAGAGAGCUUUGCGUCCCAUUAGCUAGUUGGAGAGGUGACGGCGCACCAAGGCGCUGAUGGGUAGCCGGCAUGCGAGGGUGAACGGCCACAAGGGGAUUGAGACACGGCCCUUACUCCUACGGGAGGCAGCAGUGGGGAAUAUUGGACACUGGACCAAGAGGCUGAUCCAGCAAGUCUGUGUGUAGGAUGACGUUUUUGGGAAUGAAAAGUGCUUUCAGUUGGGAUGAAAAAAAUGACGGUACCAACAGAAGAAGUGACGGCUAAAUACGUG